AUGUCUACAGACAACUUUAGAAUGUCCACAGAAAACUUCAAAAUGUCCACAGACAACUUUUCAGACUUGGAGCUGGAGCUAACUGACCUGCUCCAGGACUUCGCUGACGUGGUUGAUGAGUUGACAGAGCCUUCACAAAGCGUCCCGUACGCAUACGAGCGGCUCCUGUCUGAUGCCAAACGGCGCACCGGGCUAGGGGACGACGGCUCAGUGGUCAGCGACAGCGGCGUGGAGGACAAUAGUGACUGCAGCAGUGAGGUGUCUCUGGGUAACAGUUGGAACACCAGUGAAGAAGAGCUCCACACUGCAGGCAUAACAGUGAUGCCCAAAGCCAGAAUGGGAGACACAGGAGACCUACAGAGAUUCAUCGACAGUUUGGACCGGGAACUUGCUGAUAUGUGA
rnacentral:lncRNA from 1 species